rnacentral:misc_RNA from 1 species
UGGAUCUUCUAGCCCAAAGGU